GAACAAAACAUUUGCACAUCGACGACACGAAAUCAUUAUGAUCAAUGUCCAUGUGUGCAAGACAUAAAGGAACGAUGGACAGCCCUGUUUCAACCUUCUCAAGUGAAUGCAGAAUUUCACAGAAUAACCACUGUGCAGCUGGAACCUAAAUUGGUCCUCACUGGAUCUUCACACUCCCAAGCUGUUGACAACUGUUUCGUGCCAAAGGAGGAGCACUCGGAGAAAGACUGAAAACUGAGAUGGAACUACUGAAGGGUGAGCAGUGUUCUGUUUAUGACGAGAGGUGGUCAUCAGCUGCAUUAUAGAAUUUCCUGGGGAACAUGCAGGAGACCUCAUCAAAGAAUUGCAAGUAUGCAAUCUUAAUUUCAAUACACCAGAAGUGUGAAUAUAUCAAAAUUGUUGUUGACUUCCUGAAGAGGCCAUAAUAUUGUUGAUUGGGCUUUCUGAUUAAACAAAUUGUUGAGUUUCAGAUCUUCUCUGUUGAUCAAUAUUUCAUAGGUUUUGAGUGU